rnacentral:rRNA from 1 species
UUGGAGGGCAAGUCUGGUGCCAGCAGCCGCGGUAAUUCCAGCUCCAAUAGCGUAUAUUAAAGUUGUUGCAGUUAAAAAGCUCGUAGUUGAAUUUCGGGAUUAGUGCGCCGGUCGUGCCUUCGGUAUGUACUGGUGUUACUGGUUCCUACCUUCUGACGAACCGUCAUGUCAUUAAUUUGGUGUGGCGGGGAAUCAGGACUGUUACUUUGAAAAAAUUAGAGUGUUUAAAGCAGGCUCGCGCUUGAAUACAUUAGCAUGGAAUAAUGAAAUAGGACGUUCGAUCCUAUUUUGUUGGUUUCUAGGAUUGACGUAAUGAUUAAUAGGGAUAGUUGGGGGCAUUAGUAUUCAAUUGUCAGAGGUGAAAUUCUUGGAUUUAUUGAAGACUAACUACUGCGAAAGCAUUUGCCAAGGAUGUUUUCAUUAAUCAAGAACGAAAGUUAGGGGAUCGAAGACGAUCAGAUACCGUCGUAGUCUUAACCAUAAACUAUGCCGACUAGGGAUCAGAUGAUGUUAUUUUUAAUGACUCAUUCGGCGCCUUACGGGAAA